rnacentral:ncRNA from 12 species
UUUGGGCGCGGUGAUGGAGUUCACCAUCUACUACAAAUAUGGAAAACCGUCCAACUUCUUUAGCCGGACUAAUAACUCCUACCUAUAA